UGCCAAGUGUUUUCUCAAGGUAGGAAUUAGCUAUUAAAGAAAAAUAAAUCAGAUUUGGGGAGGGGAAAGACCAAAGGAUUUUCAAAAAGUGGAUUGUGUAAGAGGUAGAUGACUGAUUUAAGAGAUUUUGUGCAAGAGAUUUGUACUUUUGCUUGUUUAACAAGCAAGCUUCACUCAUAAAAGUGAUGUGACCUCUUCGGUUAAACAUUCACGAUUAAAUCAUGCCCAAGUAUUUUCCGUUAAUACUCGGCCAAAUAUUAAAAAUCUUCCGAUUUCGGUUUACGGUUAGAACUUCGAAAGACAAAAUUCGGAGUGAAAAAUAUUUAGAAAUACGUUAUGGACGAACUUGAUGUCUAUCUUGACUCGAAAUAAUAUUUCAAAGCCAAUGGCGUAAUUGGAAUUUGACUCCGAGUUAAGGAACUCAAAAACACAUUUUUAGGCCGAAUUCGGGCGAAUUUGGGCCGACAGCAGCUCAAAAACUUUCCCUCGCAGAAAAUUAUUAAAAUUUACCACAAAAUAGGUAUUCACAAAACAAGACUAACACUCAACUACAGUUUAGCCUAAAUCAAUACCGGUUAAUUUCUAAAAUUACUCGUUGGGAAAAU
rnacentral:lncRNA from 1 species